rnacentral:rRNA from 1 species
CUACGGAGGGGGCUAGCGUUGUUCGGAAUUACUGGGCGUAAAGCGCGCGUAGGCGGACCAGUCAGUCAGGGGUGAAAUCCCGGGGCUCAACCCCGGAACUGCCUUUGAUACUGCUGGUCUUGAGUUCGAGAGAGGUGAGUGGAAUUCCGAGUGUAGAGGUGAAAUUCGUAGAUAUUCGGAGGAACACCAGUGGCGAAGGCGGCUCACUGGCUCGAUACUGACGCUGAGGUGCGAAAGCGUGGGGAGCAAACAGGAUUAGAAACCCUAGUAGUCC